UGUGAGAGGGGGCUUGCUCCCGAUAGCGGUGUGUCAGUCAACCUAUCAGUGACUGCCACACUGCCAUCGGGAGCAAGCCCCCUCCCACA
rnacentral:misc_RNA from 1 species